UACGUAGGGGGCAAGCGUUGUCCGGAAUCAUUGGGCGUAAAGCGCGUGUAGGCGGCCCGGUAAGUCCGCUGUGAAAGUCCAGGGCUCAACCCUGGAAUGCCGGUGGAUACUGUCGGGCUCGAGUCCGGAAGAGGCGAGUGGAAUUCCCGGUGUAGCGGUGAAAUGCGCAGAUAUCGGGAGGAACACCUAUGGCGAAGGCAGCUCGCUGGGACGUGACUGACGCUGAGACGCGAAAGCGUGGGGAGCAAACAGG
rnacentral:rRNA from 1 species